GGAGAAUUAGCUCAGCUGGGAGAGCAUCUGCCUUACAAGCAGAGGGUCGGCGGUUCGAAUCCUCUAUGGCUCA
rnacentral:tRNA from 1 species